GUAGGGUGCGAGCGUUAUCCGGAAUUAUUGGGCGUAAAGAGCUCGUAGGCGGUUUGUCGCGUCUGUCGUGAAAGUCCGGGGCUUAACCCCGGAUCUGCGGUGGGUACGGGCAGACUAGAGUGCAGUAGGGGAGACUGGAAUUCCUGGUGUAGCGGUGGAAUGCGCAGAUAUCAGGAGGAACACCGAUGGCGAAGGCAGGUCUCUGGGCUGUAACUGACGCUGAGGAGCGAAAGCAUGGGGAGCGAACAGGAUUAGAUACCCUGGUAGUCCAUGCCGUAAACGUUGGGCACUAGGUGUGGGGACCAUUCCACGGUUUCCGCGCCGCAGCUAACGCAUUAAGUGCCCCGCCUGGGGAGUACGGCCGCAAGGCUAAA
rnacentral:rRNA from 1 species